rnacentral:rRNA from 1 species
UACGAAGGGGGCUAGCGUUGCUCGGAAUCACUGGGCGUAAAGCGCACGUAGGCGGCUUUUUAAGUCAGGGGUGAAAUCCGUGGAGCUCAACUCCAGAACUGCCUUUGAUACUGAGAAGCUUGAGUCCGGGAGAGGUGAGUGGAACUGCGAGUGUAGAGGUGAAAUUCGUAGAUAUUCGCAAGAACACCAGUGGCGAAGGCGGCUUACUGGACACGUAUUGACGCUGAGGUACGAAAGCGUGGGGAGCAAACAGG